rnacentral:rRNA from 1 species
GACGAACGCUGGCGGCGUGCUUAACACAUGCAAGUCGAACGGAAAGGCCCUGCUUUUGUGGGGUGCUCGAGUGGCGAACGGGUGAGUAACACGUGAGUAACCUGCCCUUGACUUUGGGAUAACUUCAGGAAACUGGGGCUAAUACCGGAUAGGAGCUCCUGCUGCAUGGUGGGGGUUGGAAAGUUUCGGCGGUUGGGGAUGGACUCGCGGCUUAUCAGCUUGUUGGUGGGGUAGUGGCUUACCAAGGCUUUGACGGGUAGCCGGCAUGAGAGGGUGACCGGCCACAUUGGGACUAAGAUACGGCGCAGACUCCUAUGGGAGGCAGCGGUGGGGAAUAUUGCGCAAUGGGCGGAAGCCAGAUGCAGCAACGCCGCGUGCGGGAUGACGUCCUUCGAGUUGUAAACCGCUUUCGCCGGUGACGAAGCGUGAGUGACGGUAAUGGGUAAAGAAGCACCGGCUAACUACGUG